rnacentral:rRNA from 1 species
GUGCCAGCAGCCGCGGUAAUACGUAGGGUGCGGGCGUUGUCCGGAAUUACUGGGCGUAAAGAGCUCGUAGGUGGUUUGUCGCGUUGUUCGUGAAAACUCACAGCUUAACUGUGGGCGUGCGGGCGAUACGGGCAGACUAGAGUACUGCAGGGGAGACUGGAAUUCCUGGUGUAGCGGUGGAAUGCGCAGAUAUCAGGAGGAACACCGGUGGCGAAGGCGGGUCUCUGGGCAGUAACUGACGCUGAGGAGCGAAAGCGUGGGGAGCGAACAGGAUUAGAUAUCCCUGGUAGUCCACGCCGUAUACGGUGGGUAUCUAGGUGUGGGUUCCUUCCCUUGGGAUCCGUGCCGUAGCUUACGCAUUAAGUACCCCGCCUGGGGUAGUACGGUCCGCAAGGCUAAAACUCAAAGGAAUUGACGGGGGCCCGCACAAGCGUCGGAGCAUGUGGAUUAAUUCGAUGCAACGCGAAGAACCUUACCUGGGUUUGACAUGCACGGAUCGCCGGCAGA